UGUUAAAAAUUCCAUCCAUUUGUACUAUUAAAAACUGACGUAGUUGAUGGAAUAACCAGACAGUGUCAUGUGGUGUGCCACCUAUACCUCUUGCUGAUGUACAAAGACUGGUUUUUUUUAACAAUAGGAAUUGAUAGAAUUUUUAACA
rfam:Gossypium raimondii Chr11_contig_641, whole genome shotgun sequence.